rnacentral:rRNA from 1 species
AUUGAACGCUGGCGGCAGGCCUAACACAUGCAAGUCGAGCGGCAGCGGGAAAGUAGCUUGCUACUUUUGCCGGCGAGCGGCGGACGGGUGAGUAAUGCCUGGGAAAUUGCCCAGUCGAGGGGGAUAACAGUUGGAAACGACUGCUAAUACCGCAUACGCCCUACGGGGGAAAGCAGGGGACCUUCGGGCCUUGCGCGAUUGGUACUGCCCAGGUGGGAUUAGCUAGUUGGUGAGGUAAUGGUUCACCAAGGCGACGAUCCCUAGCUGGUCUGAGAGGAUGAUCAGCCACACUGGAACUGAGACACGGUCCAGACUCCUACGGGAGGCAGCAGUGGGAAAUAUUGCACAAUGGGGGAAACCCUGAUGCAGCCAUGCCGCGUGUGUGAAGAAGGCCUUCGGGUUGUAAAGCACUCUCAGCGAGGAGGAAAGGUUGAUGCCUAAUACGUAUCAACUGUGACGUUACUCGCAGAAGAAGCACCGGCUAACUCCGUGCCAGCCGCCGCGGUAAAAC